UACAGAGGUGGCAAGCGUUGUUCGGAAUUACUGGGCGUAAAGCGCGCGUAGGCGGCUUUGUAAGUCGGAUGUGAAAUCCCCGGGCUUAACCUGGGAACUGCAUUCGAGACUGCAUAGCUAGAGUAUGGGAGAGGGAAGUGGAAUUUCAGGUGUAGCGGUGAAAUGCGUAGAUAUCUGAAGGAACAUCAGUGGCGAAAGCGACUUCCUGGACCAAUACUGACGCUCAUGUGCGAAAGCGUGGGGAGCAAACAGG
rnacentral:rRNA from 1 species